AUUGAACGCUGGCGGCGUGCCUAACACAUGCAAGUCGAGCGGUAACAGGUGUAGCAAUACAUGCUGACGAGCGGCGGACGGGUGAGCAAUAUUUGGGAAUCUGCCUAUUAGUGGGGGACAACCCGGGGAAACUCGGGCUAAUACCGCAUACGCACUACGGUGGAAAGCCGGGGACCGCAAGGCCUGGCGCUAAUAGAUGAGCCCAAAUCGGAUUAGCUAGUUGGUGAGGUAACGGCUCACCAAGGCGACGAUCCGUAGCUGGUCUGAGAG
rnacentral:rRNA from 1 species